CCUACGGGGGGCAGCAGUGAGGAAUAUUGGUCAAUGGGCGGGAGCCUGAACCAGCCAAGCCGCGUGAGGGAAGAAGGUACAGUGUAUCGUAAACCUCUUUUGUCAGGGAAUAAAGUCGGGGACUUGUCCUCGUUUGAGUGUACCUUAUGAAUAAGCAUCGGCUAACUCCGUGCCAGCAGCCGCGGUAAUACGGAGGAUCCGAGCGUUAUCCGGAUUUAUUGGGUUUAAAGGGUGCGAGGGCGGCCUUUUAAGUCAGCGGUAAAAGCCGGGGGCUCAACCCUGGCGAGCCGUUGAAACUGGGGGGCUUGAGUUGGUGUGAAGUAGGCGGAAUGCGCGGUGUAGCGGUGAAAUGCUUAGAUAUCGCGCAGAACCCCGAUUGCGAAGGCAGCGUACCAAGUCAAGACUGACGCUGAGGCACGAAAGCGUGGGUAUCGAACAGGAUUAGAUACCCCGGUAGUC
rnacentral:rRNA from 1 species